CGCCGCCCCGAGAAAAUCGUCUCCCUCGGGUGAGGAGGAGGCGGCGAGGGUUUGGGCCUCCUGGUCCGACCUCGACGGCGCCGACGAGCUCGCGCCCAAGAUUCCUUUCCUCAACGGCGCAGGUGAGCUUCUUCCUGCCCACUCCCUCUCCUUCUCUCUCUCUCUCUCUUGUUAUUUUCUAGUGGAUCUGCUUGGGGAGAGAGAGAUAGAGGGGACUGUGUCUCGUUGAUUCUUUUGAUGAAUUCCAAGGGAGAGAGGUCUGCAUGCCAUUUCUUGUUUAGCCGAUGACUUCGCCCACUUCCUCCAAGUUUUUCUCUUUUUUUGAGAGAGAAGUUUUUCUUUUAUUAAGCACAGUUCAGUUGUACUAUUGUCAAGUAUCUUAGUUUCUUGACAUCUUACCAUUUUGUAAACAAGUUCUCGAUCGGCUUUUGGUAGUAAAUUUUGCUACUUUGUUUUGUCAGGUCGUAAAUUUUGUGCUCAGCCAAGCAACAAGGCACAAGGUGGUUAUAUCCAUACUGUCAUUGUGCUUGUGCAGAAAAAAAAGGAAGUCCGUACGUGUAGGGAAUCAUUGAUAUGUAAGGAUUUCUAAACUUAUCUGCUCUAUGUUUGCUAGCUCAGUGCACAUUUUGGAGAACGUGGAUACAAGAGACUGUAGCUGACUUUUCUUUGGGUGAGACUAAAUGAGAUGCAUUCUGAAAAAUGUGUGUGAACUGCAGACAGAUUUUCGGAGUGUGCAUAAUGAGCUCAUGCUCCAUAUAGUACUUGCUUACCAGCCUAAACUUCUCCAUUUAGCCUCGCGCAUUAGUCAUUUGGAGCGUGAUAAAUUCUUCCAUUAUCUUCGAGUUCUUUAAUUUGUACUGAUUACUUAUCCAAGGUUCACUAACUGUUCUUUGAUGUUCAUGCGUUCCAGCUGCAACGGGUACAAAAAGGGUCAUGCAUGGGUGAGCUAGACAAACAACGUGGAUCCCUAUUUCUGUUGAGGUACUAAAUUCCUGAAUCAAGAAAACUCAGUUACCUAAACAGUUGGUUCUUCUGUUCUGUUCCGUGUGCGCGUGAUAACACACUACAAUGUUACAGUACGUGCUAUAUUUUAAAAGUAAAAUUUUGAACUGCAUGUUCUGUGACAAUGAUGUGAUGCUUCCAAGCAAAGUGGCCAGUUAAUUAGAAUGUAGUGCCCUGUUGUUCCUUAUCUGGAUGCUUUUUUCGUGCUUAAUUACUUGCUGGAAAGUACGUAAGUAACAUGUUUGCUAGGUUGUUCCUUUCCACUGUUUUGGACAUGUUCGGAUGCUUGUGAUCUUUUUUGAUAGAUUUGGGACUAGCUAGAAACCAAGAAAAGUACAGGAGAUUGGUGUUGUUACAGGCUGAAAGGCAAACUUUUUUAUCCUUUAGAUUACAAUUUGUACCUUCAGUUAAUUGCAGGAACAUGUUUUAAUUUUUUUAGGGCUUGAAUAUCAGUUAGAGGCAAAUGUGUUUAGGACUUGCAUUUCUGCUAGUGUCCAGUCCUAGAAAAAAAAUUCCUAUCAGGGCGUAUUAUUUUCUUAUACAUCCUUUAUUUUUUUUGUUAUGCAUACUUUGCCUUUUUAAGUCAUUAAAAGGCGUUCUUGAUAAGCCUAAGGGCAUUGUGUAGGGUGUAACAUACCAUCCCUGUGAGUGACUACUAAUAAUGUGAAAUGCUUAUUACUGUUUGUAUGAUGCUAUUUAUUUGUCUGUGCUAUCCUUUAUUUCCUUUUUGUCUUUAUUUAAGAAGUUCCUUUCCCACUUCCUAUCGUGUCUGUCUACAUUAGGCAUACAUGCCACAGAUCCUACUGAUGUUUUCUUGCCGUUUCGAUUUUAGAAUGUGUUGGGUGGCUCAUGCUGCUGUGUGUUCUUUAUUUGCUAUCGGAUCUAAGGAUAAUAGGGGCUCUACCUCACAUAUGACACACCAUCUCAGGUGAUAAUGCCUCUAAAGAGGAAGGAGAUCAUGUGUGCCAAAAAUUAUUCAGUUGAGGUAGGCACAUCAUACUAAUUUGCGAAUUAUGGUCAGCAUUUCUCUGAAUUGCUAAGGUCCCUAAACUAUCCUGCUUUUUCAUUCAAUAUGCAAACGCCAGUAGGUCAAGACAGUUAACAUAUCCUUAAAGGAAUUAGACACUUUUCUAGGGAAAAGUGUCCGGUAUAAGAAAUACUUUUAAUACAGCAGUGGGGAAAAUGCUUCUGAAUGUUUCUGGUCAUAUUUCAAGAAAACAAAUUCCUGCUAGAUUUUGCAAUUCAUCCUAUGUUCAUCUGAUUUAGCUUGGACCCCAGAGCUGUAUUGUUUGGGGGUAGUUUGUGCACAGAACAAUGCAGCAGGCCGAACUGUCAGCACAGCUAGCCCAAAAAAAAAACUGUUUUAUCAGUAACCAUGUGAUUUCAUAGAUAAAGGAACAGUACAAAGUACAAACACCAAGAGGGACCGAACCCUGGUUGUGUUUGCAUUUGUCCAGACAGGUCGAUCGUUCGGUGGCUGUGUGGUGGCCUGUUGUGCUUCGGUCCCUCUGUUCGGUCACUGUCGACUCCUUUGGAGUUUUUUCGCGCGUUGCUGUUCUAUGUGUUCAUAGGCUAGGGUUUUCUACUGCCGUUGUCCUCCCUGGCUGCUGCUCUUUCACGGUCGUUCCUUGCACCUUGGCAACGUUCUAGGCUUUCGGGUGUUGCCUGGUGAGGGGUUUGCAACUGUAUGCAGUUUUGCGUGCGGGUUUGGCCACCGGUAGUGGUAGUGGAUGGUGUGGGUUUCAAUUUCCUCGCCUUCUAUUCUUCGGUCUGUGCUGCCCACGCGUGCGUGAAACAUUCUUGGUGAGUGGUUUUCGGUUACCUGUGCUUUGUUUUAAGUGUAAUUUUUCUCCUGAUUUCAGACCGGUACGAUAUGUGUGCAUUUGGGUGGCCAGAUUAGGGUUUGUGUAACUGAUUUUGCGGUGCUAUGGUCGUCGGCUGGUGAUGUUGUGUGUUGGCUGUGAGAGUGUGGUUGUUGCUCCUUAUUUGUUUGGGUGAGGUGUUGGAGGCAUGAAGCAUCCUGAAUUUCUUCGUCCACUCAUUAUGGUCAUGAAGUAUAGUAACCAGAGAAGCCACAAUACUUCAAUCAGGCACAGCACCCCGUUGACCCUUUGGCCUGAACAUCAAAAACCACUAUCCGAUGAUCUAGCUCAUUUUUUGUAUCAUACAUAUAAAGCCACCUAAAAUCGUAUGGGAAGUCGUGGCUAUAGCUGGGCACACCGUUGCAUAAAGUAUGCAUCCAUAUUCCAUAGUGGGUGUUGUUGGUUUGCCCAUAUUAAUUGCACUUGAUUAGGUUUUCUUCUUCUUUUCCUUAGAAAGGCUGUGGCAUAGAAAGUGUGUUUGCGAGCUUCAUCAAUGUUGCUGUGCUAAAACACACACAAAAUUGGCCAUCAAAGCAGUGAUGAUGGUGAUAGCAUCACAUGGAAUUUCCAGAAUAUAAUCUCGUCACAUAGAAAUGUCUCGCAUGAGCUGCAUUUCCGUCCAUCUGUUUUUCAUUUUGAUUUAGCUGCAUUUUCUUCCUCUUAUUUCUUUUUACCUCCAAUGUUCUAUUCCACACUGUUGGAGAAGAGACAUGUGAAUCAUUGACCUCAAAGAUUGCUAAGCUACAGGGUCUAGGAAUGAUAUUAAAUUUCAAAAAAGACAUGUAUUGUAGAGUAGCUUAGUUCAUUAACUUCUCUAGGAUAAAUUUUGAUAUCUCAAAAGAUAUCUCUGUCAGUUUAUACACUAUAUGCUGACGUUGCAAGAAAAGAAAAAUACUGUGUUCUCUAAGAGCUUUCGCUCGACCUAGCUCUUUACGCACAUUUAGGCAGUUUAAACAAUUGCUAUUGGCCUGUUGGAGCUCAAAUAACAUCUGAGGUGAUGUGUGUCCUAUUUGAACUGCCUAAGGGCUAUGACUGGAAUGGCUAGACACCUGAACGUUAUCAAUGCCUUUUCCCCUUGUACUUCAUGCCAUUUACAUAAUAAUUAAUAUUAGUCUGCAAGUAAUACCACUUUGAUGAUAUAUCUUCUUUUCCUGUAUGGAUGUCCAGUCAUUGCCCCUAACAAUCUGUAUUUACUCCGCAAGAGUAGCACCUAAUAUCUUCUUUUCAUGUAUGGGCUUGCAGGUCACCAACCAAUUCUUAAGUUUUGAACCAUGGGAAGGCCUUCAUGCAUGAGCUGCUGUAAGUAGAUGACGACUUUUGUUGAAAAGCUUGGUUCAUGUAGAGCUCGUAGUUAGCUCUGUAGGCCAUACCCUUUUGUUGGUGAUCUUAGCUCAUGGACCUGGAAAAGGCCUCAGAAUAGGCUAUGUGAGCAAGCCAUGUAUGCAUGCCCUGAUAUAUGAACUUGUUGCUUUGGACGUUUUUGUGUGAGAGUGCAUGCAUGUAUGCCUCCUGCUAUUUAUAACAUUCUUUGAAUUUUACUACUGUACUUUGUAGCAGAACAUUCAGUAACCAGCUGUAUCUGUAACAAUUGGCCAAGACAAGACUAUAUAUACGUCC
rnacentral:lncRNA from 1 species